GACAGGGGAUGCAAGCGUUAUUCGGAAUUACUGGGCGUAAAGCGCACGUAGGCGGCUUUGUAAGUAAGAGGUGAAAGCCCAGAGCUCAACUCUGGAAUUGCCUUUUAGACUGCAUCGCUUGAAUCAUGGAGAGGUCAGUGGAAUUCCGAGUGUAGAGGUGAAAUUCGUAGAUAUUCGGAAGAACACCAGUGGCGAAGGCGGCUGACUGGACAU
rnacentral:rRNA from 1 species